CCUGAAAAGCAAUGUCAAUGCAGUGGAAUGCAGGCACCAGCCCAGGACUGGAUCUGAGCAGAUGCAGAAGCAGCAGGAAGCUGGAGUGGUGUGCGGGUUUGAGGUACACAUCAAUCAGAGUAACAAAGUGGCAAGUCAGACAUCCGAGAAUUCAAAAAAGUUCAGAGGCUGGGAACCCAACAUGGAAUCCCAACUCCAUCCAUUCAUUCGUUCGUUCAUUCAUUCAUUCAUUCAUUCAUUCGUUCAUUCACUCAUUCAUGAAUGUCUAAGUUGUACCCUGUGCUUGAGAAGGAGCAGUGGAGGCUGUGGGUCCCUGCUGUGAGGAUGAGGGGGACCCUGGGGCUGGGGGCUCAGCAGGCUUGCCCUGAGUGUUCCUGAAAGAUCUACUUUCCAAGUCCCAAAAGACCGUAUCAAAAUCCCACUGACCUAAAGUGCCUCAUUUCUGCUGAUUCAUAUUUGCCCCAGCCUCUGCCAUCCAUAAGAACAUGCCAUGGAGGAAACACUGAUUAAGCAUCUUCUGCCAGCCUGGCACCUUGGACAUAAUCCUCUAAUCCUCCAUGUGGCCAGGUAUUAUUCUCACCUGGCAGGGAUGGAAACUGAGGCUGAGAGAGGCAAGUCAGCACAGAACUGCACAGGAUUCAGGUAGCGAGUGGCAGAGUUGGGGUCUGAGUCGGGGUCACUGACUUCUGGUCCUAGGUUCCCUCCUCCCUGUUCCAUCAUCCCCAAGGCACCAGGAGCCCAGGAGCCCAGGAGGCCUGGCCUCACAUUGAGUUUGCACAGAGAACUGCAUCAGACACACUCCUGUCUGCAGCUCCUAUGUAAGAUGUGGUACCAGGUGCAAAAGGAGGGCUUAAAGGAGGGUUGUGAUGUCUACACCACACCCACACCCCAGCUGGCCCCACGGGACUACUCACUUGACCUGUGGUGGCUCCUCCAAGUUCUCCGCACCUCCAGUACCUGCUCAUAGCCCGGUGAUCCUGCUCCAGGCUCCACCUUCAGCAGAGUGACUGACAACCAGGGGCCAAGAGAACACAAGGCCGGGCCACAUGGCACCUGUUUUGAGCUGUCUCCUGUGACCUUGUAGGGACAGAGGCUGCCCUCCAGCCCCUUCGAACCACAGCAUCUCACCAUCCUCCUGUUAUCCCACCUGCCAGUGCCAGAGGGCGCUGCAGAACAACCUUGGAGCUAUUUUAUUCCUGAAGAACUUGUUACUGUGUUUACUGUGAGUGCCCGUGGUUGUCCAUUACAGGAAGGGGUUCCACAGUUUUCAGCUCUAAUAAAGGACUCCUGUGAAAGCCUGUCCUGGCUCCUUUCCAUUACUUUAAGGGGACAGAAUCCGAUCUACUGUCUGACAACAGAGUGGAUGGUAGCUCCCCUUUCUGCCUGGUCCCUACCACAGGCUGAAGGUGGCAUUCAGCAGCCCCUUGAGAUCUUGUCCCCUCCAGCCCUGUUCCUGGCAUCCAAAUCCCUGCAGUGGCUAGUAAGGGGUUCUGCCCUGGGCAGGGGCUCUAUCCUCUGCAGGUUUGAUGGCACCUGAAUGGCUUCUGGUGUGUGGGAAUCAGGGACAGCCCCAGCCAAUGGUCGUUUCCUGUAGGGGAUGA
rnacentral:lncRNA from 1 species